GAUCAUGUCCAUUUUACUCUACAGCAAGCCUACUUCAAAUGUGCCUAUGAAUGCUUUGAUAGAAGGAAAAAACAAGAGGAUAUAGACAAUUGUGUUGAGUAUUGCAGUGUUCCUGUUCUUAAAGCUCAGAAUUUUAUUGAGAGUGAAAUGGCCGAUUUUCAGGAAAAGAUGAACAGGUCACUAAUGGUCUGCCAGGACAAGUUUGAGGCCGCUAAACUCCAGAAGAACAAAAGUGACGCCAUGAAGGAUAUGGA
rnacentral:misc_RNA from 1 species